AAAAUUUAUGUUUUUUUAAAUUUAUUUUAAAUUUAUUUUACAUACAAAUUUUAGUGUUAAUUUUUAAUUAUUUAAAUAAUAUUUAAUUUUUAGUGGUAGUAAUUAAUUUUAAAUAUUUAAGAAAUUAAGAUUUAGUAAUAUAAAAAUUAAUAACUAAUUUUGUGCCAGCAGUUGCGGUUAUACAAAAAUUAAAUUAAAUUAUUUCAAUAUAUAAUAAAUAAAAUAUUAAUUAAAAUAAAUAUUAAAUUAUUAGGUAAAAUUUUAAUUUAAUUAAAUUUUAUAUAAAUUUUAUGAAUUAAUAAAUUUUAUUAUAAACUAGGAUUAGAUACCCUAUUAUUAAAAAUUUAAAUUAUAAUAUUAAAAUAGUAAAUAUAAGAUAUUGAAACUUAAAUAAUAUGGCGGUAUUUUAGUUCAUUUAGAGGAAUCUGUCUAAUAAUUGAUAAUCCACGAAUAAAUUUACUUAAUUUAUUAUUUUAUAUAUCGUUGUUAAAAAAAUAUUUUUUAUUAAAAAUAAUAUUUUAAAAUUAAAAUAAGAAAUUAAUUCAGAUCAAGAUGUAGAAUAUAAUUAAGAAUAUGAUGGAUUACAAUAAAUAUAUUUAAAUGAAUAAUUAAUUGGAAUAUAAAUUUGAAGGUGGAUUUAAAUGUAAUUUUAUUUAAUUUAAUAAAAUGAUUAAAAAUUAAAAUAUGUACAUAUUGCCCGUCACUUUCAUUUAAAAAUUGGAAUAAGUCGUAACAAAGUAGAGGUACUGGAAAGUGUUUCUAGAAUGAU
rnacentral:ncRNA from 1 species